AUGUCUAAAAGUGAUCCAUCUUCUUCCAUCUUCAUGGAGGAUGAAGAGGCAGAAGUAAAUGUGAAGAUCAAGAAGGCAUACUGUCCUCCAAAAAUUGUUGAUGGGAAUCCUUGUUUGGACUACAUCAAAUGUAUUAUCUUUCCUUGGUUUAAUGAAUUUAAGGUGGAGCGCAGUGUUGAAAAUGGUGGAGAAAAGACUUUUAAAAACUUUGAAGAAGUUGUUGCUGAAUAUGAAAGUGGUGAAUUGCA
rnacentral:misc_RNA from 1 species